AUAAUCUGUUUUUGCCACGUAAGCCACCAAAUUAGUAUUCGGUUGGGCUUUUUAUUUCAUUUGAUCCGUCAAAUAAUUUUGUUUGUUUGGCCCAUUGAAAUCCUAAUACCUUUCUACGAGCGUCGAUUCCUUUGGUCUUCCUCUUCGUCGUUUCCUUUUCUCCCUAACGGAUCAAUCCUUAUAAACAUCUCUAACUCUUCUGCAAUCAAACCUCUAUUAACCUCAUGCAUAGAGUAAAUUCUUUGUGCUCUCUACGAUGAAUCCCAACAGCGAAUCCCAUGUUUUCGGCGAUCUUAUCUCCAAGAAAUCAAACGGAAAGGACGGUGUCUCCUCCGACGAGCCGAUCGAAUGUACCGGCCAAAGUGGUGUGUCUUCCACCAAAGCUGUCUCCGGCGAUCCUCUGUCGAAGAAACCAAACGGCAAGGCCGUUGUCUCCUCCGCCGAGCCCAUCAAACAUAGCAGCGGAACCGGUGUCCCUAAAUCUCAGCCUAUAUCUUCAUCUCCGUCUCUUCCUUACCUUCCGUUCAACGUUUAUGCAACCUCUCAUCAACUCUACUAACGGUACACGGAAGCUUGAUCAUGGAGUUUAUUACAAAUGGUGGGUUAGUCCCGCUAUGAGCAAGGCCAUGGAUGGUUAAAUCCUCAACUCUGAGUAAUGGAGCUCUCUCAGUGCAUUGUUCAGAUAUUAAGAUUUUUCUGCAAAUAUACUUUUGCAGUUUUGCCCAAAACGUUUUAAGGAUUUUUCAGGUUAGAUUAUUUUGAGAGUUUCAAGAGGUGCACCUGGAAGAACAUUCUUAACCACUCACGGAGGUUGCUGGUUUGACGGAGAGCGAUGUUGUGGACAUCGUGAAGGUGUAAGAAUGAUACCUCUCUGAAAGUAGAAGUCACUUGCAAAACAAAAGGUGAGGAAGUUUUCGAGAAAGCAACUUUACGACAGUGACACUCUGAAACGCCUCAGUGGAAUAUUAGGCGCUAUUCUUCAUUGGGCUUACUUCCCUUUCCGCAAAGAGAAAAGCUUAUGGGUUCUUCUUGCGGAUUCAAACAAUAUCUGUUUCUUCCUGAAGGUUGCUUUCAUGGACAGAGUUUGAAGCUAUAAGCAUUGCGUCGAGUGCUAUUAGUUAGACAGUGAAUACUUUAGGAGAAAGCGUCGAGAUAAAUCAUAAUGCAGUUAGAGAAGUUCCGACUCUGUGAGAAGAUUAAAAGUGGGUCUAGAUUGGUUUUGCAGCCACUUUCCGAGGUAGGUGGAAUGAUACUGAGACAAGAACGUCAAUACUCUUGCUAACCAGUCUAAAUUCAAAAAAUACUUGGAGGUGUUGUAACCCUUAGCUUCACAAAUUCCCCACGACUCUUCUUUGAUUCCGUCGUCAGUGUGACAGAAAAAUAUCUAUCAAGGUUUGGAGCAAAUGGAGAUACCACACCAGCUAUCAAAAGCUCCUCCGCAGCUAUCAAUAGCCUCCACUAUGUGAUGACGGUGGUGGUGAGGCAACCUUUGUCAUCUUUAAGCAGCACUGAAACUGGUUGGUGGACAAGCGCCAUUGGUCAUGAACGAGAUGAGAGAGAUACUUACAAUCAAUAAGUGUAACACUAGAUAUCUAUAAGUCUCAUGAGAGUGCUCCCAAUGAAAAAGCAGCCAUAACAACACCACAGUGUUUCCAAGACACUGUUGGAUGCUUAUGCAACUUCAAGUCAAGCUCACGGAUUUUAAUUUCAAGUUACUUACAAGACAGUCAGGGUCUUCUGUAUUAUUAUGAUACCAUUUAAAAGGGUUCAACUAACCUUACAAGUUACAAACCAAUGAUGCAGUAGACAGAUUUAAGUUUUUGUUUCUGAUUUUUACAAUAGCUAACCCCUUCCAGUUUAUGUUUUUAAUUCUGAUUUCGAACA